AUUGAACGCUGGCGGCAGGCCUAACACAUGCAAGUCGAGCGGAUGAAGGGAGCUUGCUCCUGGAUUCAGCGGCGGACGGGUGAGUAAUGCCUAGGAAUCUGCCUGGUAGUGGGGGAUAACGUCCGGAAACGGGCGCUAAUACCGCAUACGUCCUGAGGGAGAAAGUGGGGGAUCUUCGGACCUCACGCUAUCAGAUGAUCCUAGUUCGGGUUAGCUAGUUGGUGGGGUAAAGGCCUACCAAGGCGACGAUCCGUAACUGGUCUGAGAGGAUGAUCAGUCACACUGGAACUGAGACACGGUCCAGACUACUACGGGAGGCAGCAGUGGGGAAUAUUGGACAAUGGGCGAAAGCCUGAUCCAGCCAUGCCGAGUGUGUGAAGAAGGUCUUCGGAUUGUAAAGCCCUUUAAGUUGGGAGGAAGGGCAGUAAGUUAAUACCUUGCUGUUUUGACGUUACCAACAGAAUAAGCACCGGCUAACUUCGUG
rnacentral:rRNA from 1 species